rnacentral:rRNA from 1 species
GAUGAACGCUGGCGGCGUGCCUAAUACAUGCAAGUCGAGCGACGAGGGGACGGGGGAGUAACACGUGGAUAACCUCCUAUAAGACUGGGAUAACUUCGGGAAACCGGAGGCGAACCGGCAUCUGUUACAUGGUUCCACGCUGCAUUUGCUAGGUGGUAAGGUAACGGCUUACCAAGGCCACGAUUCAUAGCCGAUCUGAGAGGGUGAUCGGCCACACUGGAACUGAGACACGGUCCAGACUCCUACGGGAGGCAGCAGUAGGGAAUCUUCCGCAAUGGGCGAAAGCCUGACGGAGCAACGCCGCGUGAGUGAUGAAGGUCUUCGGAUCGUAAAGCUCUGUUAUUAGGGAAGCGGUACCUAAUCAGAAAGCCACGGCUAACUCCGUGCCAGCAGCCGCGGUAAUAC